rnacentral:rRNA from 1 species
UACGUAGGGGGCAAGCGUUGUCCGGAAUCAUUGGGCGUAAAGCGCGUGUAGGCGGCCCAGUAAGUCCGCUGUGAAAGCCCAGGGCUCAACCCUGGGAUGCCGGUGGAUACUGUUGGGCUCGAGUCCGGAAGAGGCGAGUGGAAUUCCCGGUGUAGCGGUGAAAUGCGCAGAUAUCGGGAGGAACACCAAUGGCGAAGGCAGCUCGCUGGGACGUGACUGACGCUGAGACGCGAAAGCGUGGGGAGCAAACGGG